rnacentral:ncRNA from 18 species
CUGUGAUGAUCUCCAUAGAUGACGAGUCUGAUUCGAGCUUCUCGCUGAAGACACACACACAAUUCCAUUCAUGCAUUUCUGAGC